GGCUGGUCAGAGUGCAAUGGUGUUUACAACUAAUUGAUCACAGCCAGUUACAGACUUCUUUGUUCCUUCUCCAGUCCCACUGCUUCACUUGACUAGUCUUAC
ensembl:misc_RNA Y_RNA Y RNA